GUGUGGCUAAUCAAUUUCGGUCUGACACACUUUCUCUUUUGAAGAAAUUAUUCAUCAGGGUUUGGCGUGAGGAGCACUAUUGCAGGAUCCUCAGGCAUCUCCAAACAUUGAGGCAACACUGCGGAAGUGGCUCCCAGUGCCCAGGGCUGGGGGUGAAAUUCCCCUAGUCCAGCCCUCACUGCAGCUUCCUGCUGGGCUGCACGCCUCUCCAGGCCAGGGCCUGCCUCGGAGUCAUCUCUGACCCAGGGUCCAGCUUGAGGCCAGCAUGGAGGAGGCAGCAGCACAUGCUUGUUGAAUGAAUAAAUGACCUGGAGUGAGGUGCUGGGGAGACAGGAGUGAGGGCCCAGGCGCGGCCCUCAUCGGGCUCUGAGGGUGUGAUUCUCCCACACCCUUGCAAGAAGGACUCUAUUUUAAACUUUAUUUAUUUAAAAUCGCACAGUAAUUCUUGAACGCUCUCAUAAAAAUUAAAGCAUUACCAAUAAAAUUCAAGUCUAUCUUGAUCAAGACCCUUUGGUCUUGCCCCUCCUGGUUUGUUUGCCGUCUGCAUAUUUGCCAGAGUUUUCCUUGUGUGGUGCUGACAUAUAUGAAUUCAUAAUUUUCUGAGGCCCGUGGAAGGCUUGAGCCCAGGAGUUCAAGACCAGCCUGAGCAACAUGGCAGAACCCCGUUUCUACAAAAAUUGGCGGGUGCCUGUGGUCUCAGCUUCUUGGGAAGCUGAGACAGGAGGAUCGCUUGAGCCCAGGAGGCUGAGGCUGCAGUGAACCAUGAUCACACCACUGCACUCCAGCCUGGGUGACAGAGUGAGAGCCUGUCUCAAAACCCACCAAAAUUUGUAGGUUUUUUUUUUUUUUUUUUUUUUUUUUAGCAAGGUAGUCUUGCUCUUGUUUGAGAGGUAGUCUUGCACUCCAGGCUGGAGUGCGAUGGCACGAUAUUGGCUCACUGAAACCUCUGCCUCCCAGGUUCAAGCGAUUCUCCUGCCUCAGCCGGAGUAGCUAGGAUUACAGGCAUGUGCUACCACACCCGGCUAAUUUCGUAUUUUUAGUAGAGACAGGGGUUUCUCCAUGUUGGUCAAGCUAGUCUUGAACUCCCGACCUCAGGUGAUCCGCCUGCCUUGGCCUCCCAAAGUGCUGGGAUUACAGGCACUGCACCCAGCCUUUUUUUUUUUUUUUUUUUUGUCAGAUGAAGUCUCACUGUUGCCCAGGUUGGAGUGCAGUGGCACCAUCUUGGCUGACUGCAACCUUCAACAGCUCCCGAGUUCAAGGAGUUCUCCUGUUUCAGCUUUCUGAGUAGCUGGGAUUACAGGUGUGCGCUGCCACACCUGGCCAAUUUUUUUUUUUUUUUUUUUGGUGUUUUAGUAGAGAUGGGGUUUCUCCAUGGUGGCCAGGCUGGUCUCGAACACCUGACCUCAGGUGAUCCACCUGCCUCGGCCUCCUAAAGUGCUGAGAUUACAGGCGUGAGCCACCACACUCGGCCAGAAUCUGUAGUUUUAUUUGUGUGUGAGUGUGUGUGUCUGUGUGCAUGUGCCUGCGUGUGCGUGUUGUAAAUCAAGUGCGUUGUGCAGGCAUGUGCACAUAUGUUGUAAAAUAAGUGGCAUUGCUCUGUCUGUCAUCACGUAAGCUGGCUUUCCCAUUGGCUACUGGCCCCUGGAGCCCUUGCUGUGUCAGUAUGUAGAGAUCUACUCUAUGACCCAUGAUAGCUGCAGAGGGUCCCCAGACCACAGUGGAUGUCCACCACAGGAACAAGCCUGUUUUGUGGAUGAGGAAGUCGAGGCUUAGAAGUUGGGUGACUUGUCAAAGGUCGCCACCCACGGUGAGGGCCAGGUUCUGGGAGGGCUGAGGGGCAGGCAUGGUGAGCCAGUUCCGGGCAUGAGGCAAGGCGUGGCAGGCCUGGGGGCAAAAGCCACAGCCCGUGUGGAGGGGGUGGGGGGAUCGAGGCCUUUGGGAAGCCUGUGGAUUCUGGCUGCAGUGUGGGUGUGACACUGAGUGCUCCGGGGACUCCGAGUUAUCACCCAGGCACUGGCCAGCCCCACGCUCCCUCCUCCAGGUACUUGGCUCCCUGCCUCCUUGGCCGGCCCGGGCUGGGUAGGUGUGCAGGGCUGGAGGUGACCAGGUCAGCGCUGCUCUCGAGGACAGGCGGAAGCCCCUUCAUGCCCAGCGGGCCCGGGGGUGGGGCCAGGCACCACUCCCCACAUCUCCCACGGGAGAUCAUCAGUCCUCACCGCCAUACCAGUGUGGGGGCUGGGUGUCCACCCUCUAGGACUUAGGUCAGGACCAGGCACACGUGGGGAAGGCCAGGUCACUGGGCGGGCCGAGGAUGCAAGCUGCCGCGCUUCCCAUGAAGGCCCUCUGGCCAAGGUGCUAAUUAGGGCAGCUUCCCGAGGAGAGGGAAGAGCACCCUGAAGUGACCUCUGGCCUUCCCAAACGCGGUUUCCUUCUGACUCAGUACUGGCCUGCCUGUCAGCCAGAAAUCACCCAAGGGCCCCACAUGGAGGGCACCUGCCAGGUCAUGGGCCUUGCCCCA
rnacentral:lncRNA from 10 species